GCGUUUGUCAUAGAUAGAAGCAUUCUGUUUUGAUAAAAAGAAAUGGGGUUUCUUUGGUUUUGUUUGUUUGUGUGUAGAAACCAGAAUUUUUGAUUGGGUAAUGAAAGGAAAUGGGUAUUUCUUGUUGAUGGAAAUGAUUCAUAUCAACAUACCAAAAAGACGACUUUUCUGAAAAAACUCCCACACCUAAACACAGGGGAAAGGGAGGGGAAAAGGGCGCAUUAAAUGAUGAAAACUGAUACGAUCUGAUGUGAAUUACGAUAUAAGCUCGAAAUCAAAUCCAAACCCCAAUUUGCCAUUGCCAGCCGAAAAGAAACCCAAUUAGCAACCAGAAAAAAGGGAGAGCGGGGGAGGAAAGAGUGAUUUAGUGAGAAUCAUGUGAUUUUCCACUCUCUGCCUCGCGACUCUCCUCUUUUCUCUCUCUUCCUCCUGAAUCAAAAAGCCAUAGACGGCUCUGUAAACACCAACCCAACCCCAUUUUGUUUGUUUGUUUUUUCUUUUUGUUUUUUUGCGUGUAGCAAUUUCCUUUUCUGAACGGUUUUGGAGUCUGAGGGCUUCUUCUUCUUCUUUUUGCCAUCUGGGUUUUGUUUUUCAAUGGCUUCCAGUGCUUCAAGGUUCAUCAAGUGCGUCACGGUCGGAGAUGGGGCUGUGGGGAAGACCUGCAUGCUCAUAUGCUAUACCAGUAACAAAUUCCCCACUGAUUACGUACCAACGGUGUUUGAUAAUUUCAGCGCAAAUGUGGUGGUUGAAGGCACCACCGUCAAUUUAGGCCUCUGGGAUACAGCCGGUCAAGAAGAUUACAAUAGGUUAAGGCCAUUGAGUUACAGGGGAGCUGAUGUUUUCAUCAUUGCCUUCUCGUUAGUUAGCCGAGCGAGUUACGAAAACGUAGUUAAGAAGUGGAUUCCGGAGCUUCAACAUUAUGCACCUGGUGUUCCGGUGGUAUUGGUUGGCACCAAAUUGGAUCUUAGAGAGGACAAAUUCUAUUUGGCAGAUCAUCCAGGAUUGGAGCCUGUAACCACUUUACAGGGCGAGGAACUCCGGAAACAGAUUGGUGCCAUGAAUUAUAUCGAAUGCAGCUCAAAAACCCAGCAGCCUGGUAGUGUUCGGUUUUGUGUCGUUGAUUUGGAUGGUUUAAUCGCUAUUGCAGAAUGUGAAAGGAGUUUUUGAUGCAGCAAUAAAGGUGGUAAUCAAGCCACAACAGAAACAAAAAGAAAAGAAAAGGCGCCGCCGCCAUGGUUGUCUGCUAAAUGUGUUGUGUGGAAGAAAUCUUACGAGGCAAAGUUGAGAGCAGCUUUAUAACAAAACAACAGAGGGUUGUUUGGAAGCUAGGAAAUAUGUUGCAGCGAAGCUUAUAAUAUUAGUAGCUUUUUUUUUUCUUUUUCAAAUGUCUGAUUUGUAUUCGCUCUAUGGUUCUUUUAGUAACUCGUUGUAUACAAUUAUUUUGGGGACAGAAUAUGGUUUCUCCAUUUGAUAUAUUGUAAAAUAAUUACUCAAAUCGGCUA